rnacentral:rRNA from 1 species
GAUGAACGCUGGCGGCGUGCUUAACACAUGCAAGUCGAACGAUUAAAGCCCCUUCGGGGGUGUAUAGAGUGGCGAACGGGUGAGUAACACGUGGGCAACCUGCCCUGUGCUUCGGGAUAACUCAAGGAAACUUGAGCUAAUACCGGAUACUCCGGACUGACCGCAUGAUCGGUCCGGGAAAGUUCCGGCGGCACAGGAUGGGCCCAGGGCGCAUUAGCUAGUUGGUGAGGUAACGGCCCACCAAGGCGACGAUGGGUAGCCGAGCUGAGAGGCUGAUCGGCCACACUGGGACUGAGACACGGCCCAGACUGCUACGGGAGGCAGCAGUGGGGAAUUUUGCGCAAUGGGCGAAGGCCUGACGGAGCAACGCCGCGUGCGGGAUGAAGGCCUUCGGGUUGUAAACCGCUUUCAGCAAGGAUGAAACUGACAGUACCUGCAGAAGAAGCCCCGGCUAACUACGUGCCAGCCGCCGCAGUAAAAC